UACGUAGGGUGCAAGCGUUGUCCGGAAUUAUUGGGCCUAAAGCAUCCGUAGCCGGUUCUACAAGUCUUCCGUUAAAUCCAGCUGCUUAACAGAUGGGCUGCGGAAGAUACUAUGGAGCUAGGAGGCGGGAGAGGCAAGCGGUACUCGAUGGGUAGGGGUAAAAUCCGUUGAUCCAUUGAAGACCACCAGUGGCGAAGGCGGCUUGCCAGAACGCGCUCGACGGUGAGGGAUGAAAGCUGGGGGAGCAAACCGG
rnacentral:rRNA from 1 species